rnacentral:rRNA from 1 species
ACACUAUAAGACUGGGAUAACUUCGGGAAACCGGAGCUAAUACCGGAUAAUAUAUUGAACCGCAUGGUUCAAUAGUGAAAGACGGUUUUGCUGUCACUUAUAGAUGGAUCCGCGCCGCAUUAGCUAGUUGGUAAGGUAACGGCUUACCAAGGCAACGAUGCGUAGCCGACCUGAGAGGGUGAUCGGCCACACUGGAACUGAGACACGGUCCAG